GAUUAACGCUGGCGGCGUGCCUAACACAUGCAAGUCGAGCGGCAGCGAGUUUUACACUGCCUUCUGGAAGCUUCUAGUUGAAAGAGAAGAUUUAUUCAAGAAUUUUGUGUAAAAUGUCGGCGAGCGGCGGACGGCUGAGUAACGCGUGGGAACGUACCCCAAAGUGAGGGAUAACGCAUCGAAAGGUGUGCUAAUACCGCAUAUGGUCUUCGGAUUAAAGCCUUCGGGCGCUUUGGGAACGGCCUGCGUAAGAUUAGAUAGUUGGUGGGGUAAUGGCCUACCAAGUCGACGAUCUUUAACUGGUUUGAGAGGAUGAUCAGUCAGACUGGAACUGAGACACGGUCCAGACUCCUACGGGAGGCAGCAGUGAGGAAUCUUCCACAAUGGGCGAAAGCCUGAUGGAGCAACGCCGCGUGCAGGAUGAAGGCCUUCGGGUUGUAAACUGCUUUUAUAAGUGAGGAUUAUGACAGUAACUUAUGAAUAAGGAUCGGCUAACUACGUG
rnacentral:rRNA from 1 species